GUGCCAGCAGCCGCCGGUAAAACCAGCACCUCAAGUGGUCAGGAUGAUUAUUGGGCCUAAAGCAUCCGUAGCCGGCUCUGUAAGUUUUCGGUUAAAUCUGUACGCUUAACGUACAGGCCGCCGGGAAUACUGCAAAGCUAGGGAGUGGGAGAAGUAGGCGGUACUCGGUAGGAAGUGGUAAAAUGCUUUGAUCUAUCGAUGACCACCUGUGGCGAAGGCGGUCUACUAGAACACGUCCGACGGUGAGGGAUGAAAGCUGGGGGGAGCAAACCGGAUUACAUACCCGGGUAGUCCCAGCUGUAAACGAUGUGGACUUCGUGUCUUGGUACUGUAAAGUGCUGAGGUGCGGAAGCGAAGGCGUUAAGUCCACUGCCUGGGGAGUAAGGUCGCAAGACUGAAACUCAAAGGAAUUGACGG
rnacentral:rRNA from 1 species